GGCACGGAGGUGCAGUGGUUAGCACUGUUGCCUCGCAGCAAAAAGGCCAUGGGUUCGAUCCCAGCCUGGGGCC